GUACAUUUGGAAAAGGCAGGCUGUCAAGGCUGAUCAGAAACUCCAUAUAACUGUUGGAUCUGCGGAGUUUUCACGACAUGCUUAAGUGCAUCAAGAGUCAAGAUCUCCAGAAAGCCAGGCUAGAGGAAUUUGAAUGAAGAAAGGUCCGACUAAAAGUCAGAUCCAGAGACAGUGGGCCAAAGAUGAGCAGCUCACCUGCCUGCUAGCGUCCUUGCUGUGAUUCUUGCUGACGUUGUUUUCCUCCAGAGGAAUCUAGUCCUUGACAAGCAGCAUUUCCUCAGCCAAGGGAAGUACACCCAAAGGAAGCUGCUGAAGCCAUGAGGCUGAAUGAGGGUGGGAAGCAUCUGUCGCAAGGAGCUUUUCUCCCCGAUGAGGGAGGGGGAGAAUGUCCCUCUGCAGCGGCUUUUCUCGGAUGCUUUUACCUGCUUCUGUCUUUGAACUCUCCUCAAAGGGCUGAACCAACAUAUCGUGGAAAUGGUUUUGUAAACCGUAACGAAGGUAUCUUUCUUUAACAGCUUCCUGCCCGAAGAUGUCAGAGUGCUUUACAAACUUAUCAAAGUGAUAUA